rnacentral:rRNA from 1 species
AUCAACUUUCGAUGGUAGGAUAGAGGCCUACCAUGGUGGUAACGGGUAACGGGGUGUUAGGGCACGACACCGGAGAGGGAGCCUGAGAAACGGCUACCACAUCCAAGGAUGGCAGCAGGCGCGCAAAUUACCCAAUCCCGACACGGGGAGGUAGUGACAAUAAAUAACAAUACGGGGUUCUUUCGGAUUUCGUAAUUGGAAUGAGUACAAUUUAAAUCUCUUAACGAGGAACAAUUGGAGGGCAAGUCUGGUGCCAGCAGCCGCGGUAAUUCCAGCUCCAAUAGCGUAUAUUAAAGUUGCUGCAGUUAAAAAGCUCGUAGUUGAAUUUCGGGACCAUCAUGUCGGUCGUGCCUCGGUACGUACUGGUAUCGUUGGUUUCUCCCUUCUGACGAACCAUGAUGUCAUUUAUUUGGUGUCGUGGGAAAUCAGGACUGUUACUUUGAAAAAAUUAGAGUGUUUAAAGCAGGCUCACGCUUGAAUACAUUAGCAUGGAAUAAUGAAAUAGGACGUUUGAUUCUAUUUUGUUGGUUUCUAGGAUUGACGUAAUGAUUAAUAGGGAUAGUUGGGGGCAUUAGUAUUCAAUUGUCAGAGGUGAAAUUCUUGGAUUUAUUGAAGACUAACUACUGCGAAAGCAUUUGCCAAGGAUGUUUUCAUUAAUCAAGAACGAAAGUUAGGGGAUCGAAGACGAUCAGAUACCGUCGUAGUCUUAACCAUAAACUAUGCCGACUAGGGAUCGGAUGAUGUUAAUUUUUUAAUGACUCAUUCGGCGCCUUACGGGAAACCAAAGUGUUUGGGUUC